UACGUAGGGAGCAAGCGUUGUCCGGAUUUAUUGGGCGUAAAGAGCGUGUAGGCGGCCAGACAGGUCCGUUGUGAAAACUAGAGGCUUAACCUCUAGACGUCGAUGGAAACCGUCUGGCUAGAGUCCGGAAGAGGAGAAUGGAAUUCCUGGUGUAGCGGUGAAAUGCGCAGAUAUCAGGAAGAACACCCGUGGCUAAGGCGGUUCUCUAGUACGGUACUGACGCUGAGACGCGAAAGCGUGGGGAGCGAACAGG
rnacentral:rRNA from 1 species